rnacentral:rRNA from 1 species
UACAGAGGGGGCAAGCGUUGUUCGGAAUUACUGGGCGUAAAGGGCUCGUAGGCGGCUAACUAAGUCAUACGUGAAAUCCCUCAGCUUAACUGGGGAACUGCGUGUGAUACUGGAUGGCUUGGAUUUGGGAGAGGGAUGCGGAAUUCCAGGUGUAGCGGUGAAAUGCGUAGAUAUCUGGAGGAACACCGGUGGCGAAGGCGGCAUCCUGGACCAAUAUUGACGCUGAGGAGCGAAAGCUAGGGGAGCAAACGGG